rnacentral:lncRNA from 1 species
AAUAAUUUGGAAACUGGUACCCAGGGCAAAAGUAUCCUCAAACUUAAAAAAAACACAACUAAGCCUUCACUCUGUCAUGUAACAACUUCUUCUAGAUGGCACCUUAGGGUUCAGCUUCAUCACUUAGAGGUCAUCUAAAUCCUACGGGCACGAAGAACUGUAUGUUAGGAGCUACACCAAGUGGCCUUCCGUGGAGAAAGAAGUCAGGCAUGGUGGUGAAUAAACACCUUUAAUCCCAGCACUCCGAAGGCAGAGCCAGGCAGAUCUCUUGAGUCCAGGCUAGCCUGGUCUACAGAGCAAGUUCCAGGACAGACAGGGCCACACGGAAACCCUGUCUUUCAAAAAAAAGAAAAGAAAAGAAAGCACGAGCUGCCUGUCUCUUAAUUCAGCAGCCAGUGACUUCUGCCCGUGGGGUCCUUCCGUCUGGAACCCACUUGACAGCCAGUUUCCAUUUAGAUCAUCCUCCCGAAAACUUCCAUGUCAGCAGUGGCACAUGGUAACGCUUCCUUUGACCGUGGUGUCCCAUUUGUAAAUUAUGACAGCCAUAAACAAAGAUGGUGGCUUCAGUGGGAGUGCCGACCACACUUCACAGUGAGUCCACAGUUCAUGCCCAGCCCCUCACCCCCGACCCCCAGCCUAGAUCGCCCCACCCUUGCCAUUCGUCAGUAUCCAGGCUGCAGAUGCAGCCCAGGCAGAACUCUGCAGCAGUCAGAAUGAGAUCCACCCACGGUGCACAAUGAACACAGUGAUUUGCUGGUCUCCUGUCCCUAGUGUCUGCUGCUAGGAGAGGAAACCAACAAACCCAUUGAAAAGAGAAUGUAAACUGAGUUAAAUAAGAUUGCCCAUCCCUGGGGCUGGGGAUUUAGCUCAGUGGUAGAGCGCUUGCCUAGCAAACGCAAGGCCCUGGGUUCAGUCCCCAGCUCCGAAAAAAAGAAAAAGG